rnacentral:rRNA from 2 species
GCAUAUCAAUAAGCGGAGGAAAAGAAACCAACAGGGAUUGCCCUAGUAACGGCGAGUGAAGCGGCAACAGCUCAAAUUUGAAAUCUGGCUUCGGCCCGAGUUGUAAUUUGCAGAGGAAGCUUUGGGCGCGGCACCGACUGAGUCCCCUGGAACGGGGCGCCAUAGAGGGUGAGAGCCCCGUAUAGUCGGACGCUAAGCCUGUGUAAAGCUCCUUCGACGAGUCGAGUAGUUUGGGAAUGCUGCUCAAAAUGGGAGGUAAAUUUCUUCUAAAGCUAAAUACCGGCCAGAGACCGAUAGCGCACAAGUAGAGUGAUCGAAAGAUGAAAAGCACUUUGAAAAGAGGGUUAAAUAGCACGUGAAAUUGUUGAAAGGGAAGCGCUUGUGACCAGACUUGCGCCUGGCUGAUCAUCCGGUGUUCUCACCGGUGCACUCUGCCAGGCUCAGGCCAGCAUCGGUUCUCGCGGGGGGAUAAAGGCCCUGGGAACGUAGCUCCUCCGGGAGUGUUAUAGCCCAGGGUGCAAUGCCCUCGCGGGGACCGAGGUUCGCGCAUCUGCAAGGAUG